ensembl:lncRNA
CAUUCCCGGCUGCAGCAUUCCCGGCUGUCCAUCCGCUCCGGGCUGAGGAUGCACACAGAGCCUGCCCGGGCUGCAGGGCACCUCCCGGGAUUUGGGAUCCCCUGUGGAGGGCAGGGGAUUGGGACGGGCUGGGGCAGUGGGGACACCUCCCAAGCUGCCACCCGAGCCCCAGCUGAGCCGAACGUGCAACAACAGCCCCGGGGCUUGCUGGAGACGUGAGGCUCGGGCACGCCGCUCGUUAGCUGUAAUCAGCCUAAUGAGUGGGUUCGUGGCCGAGCAGCAGCAGAGGCAGCUCCGUGACCUCCUUUGGGGCUGUUUGAUCUGCCCGGUUCUGCAUUUCCUCACCCGGGCCAGCCGCUGCUGCAGCAGCUCCGGCCGGGCACGAGUGGGGCCAGCGCUGCCGGGAACAGCCCGUGGGCUGAGCCGCUGCCCUGCUCGGCUCCUGGGAAUAACAGCCUGGGAAUAACAGCCUGGGAAUGAAUAACAGCCUGCUCCGUGACUGACGGCAGGGAUGGCUCUGGCUCACGGCCCCAGCCGGGCAGGGUGGCACAGGCGGUGUCACCCCCAUGCCCGCAGCGUGUGAGGUUUCUGUGCUGGAGCUGCCGCUCCUGCUCUGCCCCAAAAACACACCGAGAUCCUGGAGUUUGUGCCAAGCCAGUUUCAGUCGAGCACAGCAGAGAAAGGGGGGGCUCAGCUGAGUGCUGGGGAGCUGAUGAUGGGGUCACUCCGUGAACGCCUCGGGGGGAUCCCCCCUCUUCCCCGGGGUCUUGCGGGGCCGGGCUCCUCCCAGAAGAGGCAGGAGAAGCAGGCGGGAGGAUCAGGCUGGACGAGGAGAGCUGGGGGCCUUGCCCCAUGUGCAAACAGCAGUGGCUGGGUGUUCCCAGGCCGGGCUGCUGGCUCGGAGGGCUUGGCUCAGGGCCACCGUGGCUGGAUGAGGGUCUCCUGCACAGCCCUGGUGGCGGUGUCACCGUGGGACACAUUGACCCCAGAUGUUUUCAGUGCUGCAGGGACAGCGGCAGCCCGGAUUUUGGCUGGUGAGGGUACAGGGCAGCGAGUCAGCCUGCUGCAGGUGCUGGAGCUCCUGUGCACAUCCCAUCUGCUGUCAUUCCUGGGCAGCCCCGUGUCCCUCUCAGGGACCCGAUUCCCUCAACACCCAGGCCUGUGGCCGUGGGUCAGGGUCAGCAGGAGCUGCUCCAGGAUGGGCAGUGGGGAAGGAGUGUGGGACUCCCAACACCGAACACGCGGCCGUGGGCUGCCCCACGCCCGGCUGCGGUCGCGGUUUAACGCGUUCCCUUUUCCUGCCGCCCACAGGGCUGCGACACCGACACAGCCAGCCCAAAAUAAAGUGACACGGGGGAAAACCACGGCACCUUUGCCUUUGGCAGGCAGAGCGGGCCCUGCUCCAGCCGGUUCAUUCCCGUGGCCGUGCGGCGGGGCGUGGGAGGUGGCAGCGGGCACAAGCGCCGUGUCAGCUGCCCCGGGAAGCAGAGGCAGCUUGAGCUGGCAGGGAGGAGCAGAUUUCUGCUCAGACAGUUACCAGCCUGCCCAGCAGGCUCCACCUGGGCACGUCCCGGUCCUCCCAGCACUGCUGCUCUUGGCCCUUGGCUGUUUCAUGGAGACACCUCCUCAUUUUCACCCCUAGCUUCCCCCAGGAAUGCCCUGGGAAGAGCUGCUGUGGG